rnacentral:misc_RNA from 1 species
AAGUCGUAACAAGGUUUCCGUAGGUGAACCUGCGGAAGGAUCAUUAAUGAAUUUUAUUCGCUCGCAAGAGUGUUUAUCAUUUUAUCUUUCUUUCAUAUUGAAAUUGUCAGAGUUAUGUCUCGAGAGAGAUUUAGAAAUUAUUAAAACUAUAAACAACGGAUCUCUAGGCUCUU